rnacentral:rRNA from 1 species
UACAGAGGGUGCAAGCGUUGUUCGGAAUUAUUGGGCGUAAAGGGCGCGUAGGCGGCUCAUGAAGGCUGUGGUGAAAGUCCGGGGCUCAACCUCGGAUCGGCCGUGGCGACUCGUGGGCUGGAGCACUGUAGAGGCGGGUGGAAUUCCGGGUGUAGCGGUGGAAUGCGUAGAGAUCCGGAAGAACACCAGUGGCGAAGGCGAUCAUCUGGGGUUGUUCUGACACUGAGGAGCGAAAGCGUGGGGAGCGAACAGG